CUUCCUGUUUACCGAACACUUGUAUGAUUUUACACAUGAUAGCCAAGUUGAAAAUUUUCGUCACAUUUUUCUCAGGAACUACAAUACAAGGAUUUCUGAAAUUUGGUUUCAGGAUUUAUAUGAAGGCAGCUAUACCGUGUGAUGCGUUUUCAGAUUCAUCACUCGACAACUUCCUGUUUACCGAACACUUGCAUAUUUUUACACUAUUAAUAUUAUCCACUUGCGGCUGGGG
rnacentral:lncRNA from 1 species